UACGGGGGGGGGCAAGCGUUGUUCGGAAUUACUGGGCGUAAAGGGCGCGUAGGCGGUUCGCUAAGUUGAAUGUGAAAACUCUGGGCUUAACCCAGAGCCUGCAUCCAAAACUGGCGAACUGGAGUACUGGAGGGGAAAGCGGAAUUCCUGGUGUAGCGGUGAAAUGCGUAGAUAUCAGGAGGAACACCGGUGGCGAAGGCGGGUCUCUGGGCCGAUACUGACGCUGGAGGAGCGAAAGCGUGGGGAGCGAACAGG
rnacentral:rRNA from 1 species